rfam:Sinorhizobium saheli strain LMG 7837 scaffold23, whole genome shotgun sequence.
GGAUCUCUGUUCCGCUUGCUUCCGCCGAGCCGCAGCCUCCUCGACAGGAUAGGCGAAUUGCACACUGUAGUAGAGCUCCGGCUGCUCUU